rnacentral:rRNA from 1 species
CUACGGGUCGCAGCAGUGGGGAAUCUUGGACAAUGGGCGCAAGCCUGAUCCAGCCAUGCCGCGUGAGUGAUGAAGGCCUUAGGGUCGUAAAGCUCUUUCGCCAGGGAUGAUAAUGACAGUACCUGGUAAAGAAACCCCGGCUAACUCCGUGCCAGCAGCCGCGGUAAUACGGAGGGGGUUAGCGUUGUUCGGAAUUACUGGGCGUAAAGCGCGCGUAGGCGGACCAGAAAGUUGGGGGUGAAAUCCCGGGGCUCAACCCCGGAACGGCCUUCAAAACUCCUGGUCUUGAGUUCGAGAGAGGUGGGUGGAAUUCCGAGUGUAGGGGUGAAAUUCGUAGAUAUUCGGGGGAACACCAGUGGCGAAGGCGACUCACUGGCUCGAUACUGACGCUGAGGUGCGAAAGUGUGGGGAGCAAACAGGAUUAGAUACCCCUUAGUC